UACGAAGGGGGCUAGCGUUGCUCGGAAUCACUGGGCGUAAAGGGUGCGUAGGCGGGUUUUUAAGUCAGAGGUGAAAUCCUGGAGCUCAACUCCAGAACUGCCUUUGAUACUGAAAGUCUUGAGUAUGGGAGAGGUGAGUGGAACUGCGAGUGUAGAGGUGAAAUUCGUAGAUAUUCGGAAGAACACCAGUGGCGAAGGCGGCUCACUGGACGACUGUUGACGCUGAGGCGCGACAGCGUGGGGAGCAAACAGG
rnacentral:rRNA from 1 species